rfam:Ixodes scapularis strain Wikel colony gcontig_1107729067972, whole genome shotgun sequence.
GUUGCUCAGUUGGUAGAGCGCUCCAUUGGAAAUGGAGACGUCCUUGGUUCGAUGACCAGGC